UGGGGAAUAUUGCACAAUGGGCGAAAGCCUGAUGCAGCAACGCCGCGUGAGUGAUGAAGGCCUUCGGGUUGUAAAGCUCUGUCUUUUGGGACGAUAAUGACGGUACCAAAGGAGGAAGCCACGGCUAACUACGUGCCAGCAGCCGCGGUAAUACGUAGGUGGCAAGCGUUGUCCGGAUUUACUGGGCGUAAAGGAUGCGUAGGCGGAUUUUUAAGUGAGAUGUGAAAACCCUAAGCUUAACUUGGGGGACUGCAUUUCAUACUGGAAAUCUAGAGUGCGGGAGAGGAGAAUGGAAUUCCUAGUGUAGCGGUGAAAUGCGUAGAGAUUAGGAAGAACACCAGUGGCGAAGGCGAUUCUCUGGACCGUAACUGACGCUGAGGCAUGAAAGCGUGGGUAGCAAACAGGAUUAGAUACCCUGGUAGUCCACGCCGUAAACGAUGAGUACUAGGUGUAGGAGGUAUCGACCCCUUCUGUGCCGCAGUUAACACAAUAAGUACUCCGCCUGGGAAGUACGAUCGCAAGAUU
rnacentral:rRNA from 1 species